rnacentral:rRNA from 1 species
UACAGAGGUCUCAAGCGUUGUUCGGAUUCAUUGGGCGUAAAGGGUGCGUAGGCGGCGCGGUAAGUCGGGUGUGAAAUCUCGGGGCUUAACUCCGAAACUGCAUUCGAUACUGCCGUGCUUGAGGACUGGAGAGGAGACUGGAAUUUACGGUGUAGCGGUGAAAUGCGUAGAUAUCGGGAGGAACACCAGCGGCGAAGGCGGCACUCUGGGCUGGAACUGACGCUGAGGAGCGAAAGCGUGGGUAGCAAACAGG